GCGCCCGUAGCUCAGCUGGAUAGAGUGUUGGAUUCCGAUUCCAAAGGUCGCAGGUUCGAAUCCUGCCGGGCGCGCCA
rnacentral:tRNA from 1 species